UACAGAGGUCUCAAGCGUUGUUCGGAUUCAUUGGGCGUAAAGGGUGCGUAGGUGGCGCCGUAAGUGGGGUGUGAAAUUUCGGAGCUUAACUCCGAAACUGCAUCCAUACUGCGGUGCUUGAGGACUGGAGAGGAGACUGGAAUUACGGUGUAGCAUGUGAAAUGCGUAGAGAUCGUAAGGAAGACCAGUGGCGAAGGCGGGUCUCUGGACAGUUCCUGACACUGAGGCACGAAGGCCAGGGAGCAAACGGG
rnacentral:rRNA from 1 species